rnacentral:lncRNA from 1 species
GCUCUUCUAAAUUCAUAGCCCCCUUUUCAUGUUGUUAUAUAUCUUUCUCUCCACAUAUAUGGUCUUACAAUAAAAUGCUGCAUAUACAGCUUUGUAUACUUUCACUUCAGUCUGUGAGCAGUUUUCUCAUACAACCUACUCAACUUUACCCAUCUCUUCUCAAUUUGGUCCUUUAUUGUCUUUAUUAAGUCACUAUGUUAAAAAAAAAUCCUGCCUUGUAUUUUGUGUUGGUUUAUGACCCCCUCACAUUCCUCUUUCCUCUGAAGUAAUUCAGUGUACCAGGUGAAUCAUCCUCACCUUUACAUCUUCAGUGGCCCCAUCUUUGAUCCUUGUUGAGAGGGCAAGAUUUUUUUAUGUAAUGCCUCUCUAGAGAGCAGCUGUUCCCGAUGCAGUGACCUACUUGUCUUGGCAUAUGUCCUCUCUAGUAACUUCUUCCUCUUCUUUUUUUUCCUUUCUCUUAAAAAAAAAAAGCCUAGUAACUUCUUAUAAACAUGCAUUUCCUUUUAACCUUGGUUGUAAAUUCUUUCAUAGCAUUGGUUUUCUCUUUUCCCUUUGCAUAUUACUGAAAGUAUAGGACAUAGCUGACUAUAAAUAAACACAUUAGUGAAUGAAUGAAUGAAUGAAUGAAUGAAUGCAUUAAUGAAUGAUGCAUAGUUAGUAUCAUCCAUCAACUAAGCUGACAAACAUACAGUGAAAAAAUUUAAAGUAUUUUUUCUUUCUUUUUUUAUUAGAUAUUUUCUUCAUUUACAUUUCAAAUGUUAUCCCUAAUGCCCCCUAUAUCCUUUCCCUGCCAUGCUCCCCAACCCACCCACUCCUGCUUCCUGGCCCUGGCCUUCCCCUGUACUGGGGCAUAUGACCUUCACAGGACCAAGGGCCUCUCCUCCCAUUGAUGGCUGACUUCUUCAGAAACAAAUGCGAUUUUUUUGUUUUUGUUUUGUUUGUUUGUUUGUUUGUUUGAGACAGGGUUUCUCUGUGUAGCCCUGUCUGUCCUGGAACUCACUCUGUAGACCAGGCUGUCAUUGAACUUAGAAAUCCACCUGCCUCUGCCUACCAAGCCCUGGGAUUAAAGGUGUUAGCCACCACUACCCAGCUAAGAACUCUUAAGUUAGUGAAUGGUUAUACAGAUGACUUUUCAUUUAGAACAAAAUUGGUCUCUACAUUAAGCACAGAUCUUGAAAGUUGUGGGCUGUGGCAGCACAAAGCUGGACUAUAAAACAAACCAAUACUACUUCUUCCUUGGGGUCAGCCAAUAGCAUAAAUUCUCUAACUGUGUUUCCUUAAACAUAAAUUUGAGCUGUCCUGAGUUCUCUUAGGAUCCUCCCAAUUCCCUGACUGCUAAAUUAGAUUGGUUUAAUAGAUUAAAAUAUUAUUCUGGUACCACCCUUUAUUAUUUUCUAUUUGCCAAUCUCAUGUUUACGAAGAAAUUUUCUUAAAUGCAGAAACACUGAUUGGACUGAAUUAUUCCUAUGGUAAUUUCUCCCACAGCCUUAGUAAGAAAGUAAUUAUUGCAUACUAGAUAUAUGGUGAAUGAGCAAGAGGCACCACCAUUGCCUUGUCAAAAAUAGCAGGCAAACUGAGAAAAAGAGGCCUGCUCAAAAUUGAUUUCCAGAGCUACCAAAUUCUAGAAGCCCUGAUGGAUUAGAUCUCAGGAUUAGAACUCAGGUGAUAUGCAUCAAAAAUUGGUUUGUUCAUGGGCCUUCAGGCUGUUGACUUUUGAAUCCAUGUGAGCUCAAUAAAUUUCUUUUCAUAGAGCCUGUCUUUGGUUAUUGUUGGAUGGCAUCUGCCAUCUCAUAUAAAAAAAAAAUGAAAGAGAGAAAGAAAGAAAGAGAGAAAGAGAGAAAG